rnacentral:tRNA from 1 species
CAUUAAGUAGCUAAUAUGGUAAAGCAUUAGCCUUUUAAGCUAACAUUGGUGAUUUCCAACCACCCUUAAUGA